GAUGAACGCUGGCGGCGUGCCUAAUACAUGCAAGUCGAGCGAACGGACGAGAAGCUUGCUUCUCUGAUGUUAGCGGCGGACGGGUGAGUAACACGUGGAUAACCUACCUAUAAGACUGGGAUAACUUCGGGAAACCGGAGCUAAUACCGGAUAAUAUUUUGAACCGCAUGGUUCAAAAGUGAAUGACGGUCUUUCUGUCACUUAUAGAUGUAUCCGCGCUGCAUUAGCUAGUUGGUAAGGUAACGGCUUACCAAGGCAACGAUGCAUAGCCGACCUGAGAGGGUGAUCGGCCACACUGGAACUGAGACACGGUCCAGACUCCUACGGGAGGCAGCAGUAGGGAAUCUUCCGCAAAGGGCGAAAGCCUGACGGAGCAACGCCGCGUGAGUGAUGAAGGUCUUCGGAUCGUAAAACUCUGUUAUUAGGGAAGAACAUAUGUGUAAGUAACUGUGCACAUCUUGACGGUACCUAAUCAGAAAGCCACGGCUAACUACGUG
rnacentral:rRNA from 1 species